CAAAAGCAAGUGUUUUUUUUCAAAGAGCCCAGAAAUACCUGUGUAUUGCCUUGACUAUUGAAGAUACCAUACAUAGCUGCACUCACUGGAAUGUUCAGGGCAUUCCCUUGUGUUCUGUUCAUAGAAGCAUGAGGAAGCAUCUGAUUUUGCAUCCAGGGGUGUGUAUGAUGCAGCCCUUGGUUCCAAGCACCAGAAGUCAGCCACUGUUGCUGCUGGGCACUAACCUGAGAACCAAACAGAGAAGCUCCAUAAGCAUCAAGAAUAGCUGGAAUCGAUGUCAAGAGUUUUCUUUGUCAGAAUUCUGAAGAAUACAAGAACAGAGACAAGAAUCCGAGAUCUGGAGAGGGGAGAGGCGUGCAUACCCUGGUGAGUGCUUUGUGCCCUCUGAUCUCUUCCUGCAUCCAUGUUUUUGCGUGCUGCGAUGAGGGUUUGUGAUUUUCGUGGAUGGGGGCUGGCGGCUGGGGCUGGAGGAGGAAGGAGGAGAAGUGGGUGGGUGUGUGCCCUGGCGGCUUCCUCUACUCACAAGCUUCCUUCCUCUGCUCACAUUGCCAUUUUGGAGGGGAAAGGUGUGUCCCCUGGCGGCUGGGUCUGGAGGAGGAAGGAGGAGGAGUGGGGUGGGUUGGGGGUGAGGGUUUGUGAUUUUCGUGGAUGGGGGCUGGGGCAUGUGCUGUGAUCAGGAGAAGAACAGGGAGGAACAAAAAGCAACGAAGCUCUUUUGCUCCUGUACAGCGAGGCCCGGGCUUUCUUUUGUCUUUUUUCUGCUUUUAGUCAAAAAGGCCCAACAAGGACAAUCAAAACAAACAACCCAAAAAGGCCCACAACCUACAAAUAACAACAGAACAAAGGGCCUGGAUUGUAUUCGGCCCAAUAGGGCUUUGUGCGGGGGAGAAAGGAGCCUGGCUCGGGCGUGGCAGGUGAUCGGGCUGAGACAAAUAGAUUCGACUGAGACCAAUCUAUUUCUCAGUCGAAUGAGUUCCAGGCGCUCCCUUAAAAAAAUGAUUUUUUUGGGACAAAUCUACAGAAACAAAAGACCUUUUCACUUCAAAUCGAGUCAAACUACUUCAAUUACAUUGGGGUGGGUCUAACAGGUUUUCUGUUACUCAAUUUGUGUAGAUGAUGAAAUCCCAGAAAGAUAAAUAAGCAUCAGGACCAUAUCUAUAAAAUUAUCACUAAACAUGCAAAGCGUGUCUAACAGAUCAGGACAUGCAGAUUGGUUUGAAACAAAUACCAUCACAAGCGUCCCUUCUUCCUUACAUGCAUACUACUCCCUCCGUACCAAAUUUUUUGUCUUAUAUUAAUUUAGAUACAUUCAUACGGAUGUAUCUAAGAAAAAAAAAUUAGGACGAAGGGAGUACAUUCUUGUCGUACGUCGUCAGGCAUUUUGCAAAAAAAUCCCCCUAUUUCUAAAACAUUAACCCGCAGUCCUACUUAAAGUGAGUACUAAUGGAUAACGUUUCGUUUUUUGCAAAACACCCCCUACUACCACCGGCCACCUCCACCACUUAUCCAUUGCCAUCGCCGGCCACACCCCGCUGCUUGCCGCCGGCGUCGACGCCGCAGAAGCCAAGGCAGUGCGUCGCUGCGGGCGUCCACGACGCCCUAGACCAGGAAUGGGGCGAGGCAUGACGGCGGGCGUUGUAGAGCGCGGCGGACCGAGGCGUCGCGUCGGAGGGUGAUAAGGCGGCCGGCGUGCUCGCUUGGGGCGAGGCGUCGGGCCGUUGCAGGUGGCGCGGGGGCCGGGGCGGUGGUUUGACGGGCGACGCGGAGGAGGUGCGUCCUGGAGCCAUCGACAGCGGCUGCAGCGGAACGGCGUGUCCACAUCUUGCUUAAGGGGCUGCGGGCCGUGGGCGGCGCCGUGCUCGCGCGCGAGACCCGUCUCUGAUUUGGAUCGAAUUUCAGUGCAAGAUUCGAUCUCUUCUCCUACUCAUCCUCUUCCGCGUCGAGUCUGGAGCAUGAGUCGCCACCGAACGCCGUGCACCAUGCUCCGCGCUGCUGCCUGCGAUGCCGCGUGCAGGAGCGCGCACCGCCGCGUGUCCUGCUGGCUGUCGACCACGGCCGCCUGCCGCCCGCGCCUCGCCGGGCGCUCCCGCGACCGCGCUCGCUGCACGACGCGCGCCCCGCCGCCUGCCUGCCUUUGCUGCAAUGUUUUUGGCCUCCAGCAUCGACUAUUGGCCUGACCUGCAGCGAGGAAUCAAGGAAGCCUACAGGGUCCUGAGCCUCGGUGGAAAACAUCAGAUGGAUCUCUCUAUCCAUUGACGAGGGAAGAUUUCUGCUUGUGUUAGGUACUGUACUAUACAUUGCUAAUAAUCUCUAUUUCCGUGAUCUGCUUCAGUACUUCAGGCUAUGGAUUGCGAUUAAUAGGAUUCAGGUUCAGGGGAAUACUGAAGACACAUUUGCCUGGCGCUUGUCACCGUCAGGCUGCUAUUCUGAAGAAUCCAGCUACAAGAUUCUAUGUCAGAGCAAGGAGUGUUUUUGUCUUGCUAAUGCUAUCCGGAAGAGCUAUACAUCAAUGAAUUGUAAAGUUUUCAUCUGGUUUUCUCUCAAGUACAGGAUAUGGAAGUCUGACCGCAGGGUUUCCAGGGGCCUACAGGCGACCAUCUCGCCGUGUUCUCUCUGUCUUCAGGAGGAUGAAACAACGGACCACAUGCUUGUUCAUUGCGUGCUCCCAAUCCCUCAAAUACAAUGCUUGAAUGGUGGCACACUUCUAGACUGCAACUCCGUAAGAACAGAAGGAAGGGGUUUGAUUCUCUUGUCAUGCAAACUUUCUGGACGUAAUGCUCGUGUCUUUGGUAACAAUCAUCAAGUAUUUCCUGAAGCUAGGGUAGGACAUACUUGCAGGAGCCAGAAGUUUAGUACUAAUUGAGUAGGAGCAGUUCCCUGUAAUUUAUGUGUUUUUUUCCUUUACCUGCCCUGGAUGAUGUUUCUGGGUAUUGCCUUGAGUAACACCGGAGUAUAAUAGUAUGCAUUUUGUGUACUAUAAAACAUGUAAGAUUUCAACCCUCA